CGGACGGGUCAGUAACGCGUGAGAAUCUAGCUUCAGGUCUGGGACAACCACUGGAAACGGUGGCUAAUACCGGAUGUGCCGGAAGGUGAAAGGCUUGCUGCCUGAAGAUGAGCUCGCGUCCGAUUAGCUAGUAGGUGGGGUAAGAGCCUACCUAGGCGACGAUCGGUAGCUGGUCUGAGAGGAUGACCAGCCACACUGGGACUGAGACACGGCCCAGACUCCUACGGGAGGCAGCAGUGGGGAAUUUUCCGCAAUGGGCGAAAGCCUGACGGAGCAAUACCGCGUGAGGGAGGAAGGCUCUUGGGUUGUAAACCUCUUUUCUCAGGGAAGAACACAAUGACGGUACCUGAGGAAUCAGCAUCGGCUAACUCCGUGCCAGCAGCCGCGGUAAUACGGAGGAUGCAAGCGUUAUCCGGAAUGAUUGGGCGUAAAGCGUCCGCAGGUGGCUGUGUAAGUCUGCUGUCAAAGAGCAAAGCUCAACUUUGUAAAGGCAGUGGAAACUACACGGCUAGAGUGCGUUCGGGGCAGAGGGAAUUCCUGGUGUAGCGGUGAAAUGCGUAGAGAUCAGGAAGAACACCGGUGGCCGAAGGCGCCUCUGCUAGGCCGCAACUGACACUGAGGAACGAAAGAACGAAGCCCUCA
rnacentral:rRNA from 1 species